rnacentral:lncRNA from 1 species
GAUUAUGUAAUUAGGACUAUUUGCUUACCUGACCAAUUUGUCAUUGUCUAAGGAAAGUAAUGAGAAGCCUCCCAUCUACUUAUCUAGCCAAUUUGGUUAAGCGAUCUUGAAAUUAAAAAUUCUAAUGUUGAAAAGACUACUCGAGGCUUUGCUUCAUGUUAGGUCAAUAUUAUGUCAAGAACCAUUAUAGGUUUGUUGUGCGACCACAAGGCUUGCUAUAGGGAC